GAUGAACGCUAGCGGCAGGCCUAAUACAUGCAAGCCGGACGGCAAGUUGAGUAGCAAUACUUGACCUAGAGUGGCGUAAGGGUGCGUAACACGUAUGCAAUCUGCCCACAGCCGGGUGAUAGCCCUCCGAAAGGAGGAUUAAUAUCCCAUAGGAAGAUGAGAUGGCAUCAUUUUAUUUUUAAACUACGGGGCUGUGGAUGAGCAUGCGGUUGAUUAGCUAGUUGGCGGGGUAAAGGCCCACCAAGGCGAUGAUCAAUAGGGGACCUGAGAGGGUGAUCCCCCACACUGGCACUGAGAUACGGGCCAGACUCCUACGGGAGGCAGCAGUAGGGAAUAUUGGGACAAUGGGUGUAAGCCUGAUCCAGCCAUGCCGCGUGCAGGAAGAAGGCCUUCUGGUUGUAAAGCUCUUUUGCCAGGGAAGAUGUAGUGACUGUACCUGGAGAAUAA
rnacentral:rRNA from 1 species